UGAGUACGAGAUGCUACGGCAUCGAAGCAGUCUAUGUCAUACUUCCAAGAAAAGCUUGCACUGUCAGAAACAGAUAAUGCCUGUACCAUAACCGACACAGGUGGGUAGGUAGAGUAUACUAAGGGGCGCGAGAUAACUCUCUCUAAGGAACUCGGCAAAAUGACUCCGUAACUUCGGGAGAAGGAGUGCCUUAUUUUUAAGGUUGCAAUAACAAGAUCCAAGCAACUGUUUACCAAAAACACAGGUCUCCGCUAAGUCGUAAGACGAUGUAUGGGGGCUGACGCCUGCCCAGUGCCAGAAGGUUAAAGAAGUCGGUUAGCAUUCGCGAAGCUGGUAACUGAAGCCCUGGUGAACGGCGGCCGUAACGAUAACGGUCCUAAGGUAGCGAAAUUCCUUGUCGGGUAAGUUCCGACCCGCACGAAAGGCGUAAUGAUUUGGAUACUGUCUCGGAGAGGGGCUCGGUGAAAUAGACUUGUCUGUGAAGAUGCGGACUACCUGCACCUGGACAGAAAGACCCUAUGAAGCUUUACUGUAACUUGAAAUUGAAAUUGGACUUUAUUUGCGCAGUAUAGGUGGGAGGCGUUGAAAAUAUUCUUGCGGGAAUAUUGGAGCCAUCAGUGAGAUACCACUCUUGUAAUGUUAGAUUUCUAACUUUAUAUCAUUAUCUGGUUAAAGAACAGUUUCAGGCGGGCAGUUUGACUGGGGCGGUCGCCUCCCAAAUGGUAACGGAGGCGCACAAAGGUUUCCUCUGAACGGGUAGAAAUCGCAUCUAGAGUGUAAAGGCAUAAGGAAGCUUGACUGUGAGACCUACAAGUCGAGCAGGGACGAAAGUCGGUCUUAGUGAUCUGACGGUGCUGAGUGGAAAGGCCGUCACUCAACGGAUAAAAGUUACUCUAGGAUAUCAGGCUGAUCUCCCCCAAGAGUUCACAUCGACGGGGAGGUUUGGCACCUCGAUGUCGGCUCAUCGCAUCCUGGGGCGGUAGUACGUCCCAAGGGUUGGGCUGUUCGCCCAUGAAAGCGGUACGCGAGCUGGGUUCAGAACGUCGUGAGACAGUUCGGUCCAUAUCCGGUGUAGGCGUUAGAAUAUUGAGAGGAGCCUUCUUAGUACGAGAGGACCGAGAAGGACAUACCUCUGGUGUACCAGUUAUCGUGCCAACGGUAAACGCUGGGUAGCUAUGUAUGGAGUGGAUAACCGCUGAAAGCAUCUAAGUGGGAAGCCCACCUCAAGAUAAGUAUUCUC
rnacentral:rRNA from 1 species